rnacentral:rRNA from 1 species
CCCUUAGAUGUUCUGGGCUGCACGCGCGCUACACUGAAGCUAUAAACACGUUUUCCCUCCCUGAGAAGGGCGGGUAACCUUUUGAAUCAGCUUCGUGGUAGGGAUCGGGGCUUGCAAUUGUUCCCCGUGAACCAGGAAUUCCUAGUAGACGCGAGUCAUAAGCUCGCAUCGAUUAAGUCCCUGCCCUUUGUACACACCGCCCGUCGCUACUACCGAUUGAACGUUUUAGUGAGGCAUUUGGACCGACGCAUCUCAGUUUAACCGCUGGUUUGUGUUGGAAAGACUUCCAAACUUGAGCGUUUAGAGGAAGUAAAAGUCGUAACA